UCGAACGCUGAAGGCCCAGCUUGCUGGGUUGGAUGAGUGGCGAACGGGUGAGUAACACGUGAGUAACCUGCCCCCUUCUUUGGGAUAACGGUCGGAAACGGCUGCUAAUACCGGGUAUUCACUGUCCUUCGCAUGGGGGGUGGUGGAAAGGUUUUUUCUGGUGGGGGAUGGGCUCGCGGCCUAUCAGCUUGUUGGUGGGGUGAUGGCUUACCAAGGCUUUGACGGGUAACCGGCCUGAGAGGGUGACCGGUCACAUUGGGACUGAGAUACGGCCCAGACUCCUACGGGAGGCAGCAGUGGGGAAUAUUGCACAAUGGGCGAAAGCCUGAUGCAGCGACGCCGCGUGAGGGAUGACGGCCUUCGGGUUGUAAACCUCUUUCGCUCAUGGUCAAGCCGCAACAGUGGUUGUGGUGAGGGUAGUGGGUAAAGAAGCACCGGCUAACUACGUGCCAGCAGCCGCGGUAAUAUGUAGGGUGCGAGCGUUGUCCGGAAUUAUUGGGCGUAAAGGGCUUGUAGGCGGUUUGUCGCGUCUGCCGUGAAAUCCUCUGGCUUAACUGGGGGCGUGCG
rnacentral:rRNA from 1 species